rnacentral:rRNA from 1 species
UAGGGAAUCUUCCGCAAUGGACGCAAGUCUGACGGAGCAACGCCGCGUGAGUGAAGAAGGAUUUCGGUUCGUAAAACUCUGUUGUUAGAGAAGAACAGCGCAUAGAGUAACUGUUAUGCGUGUGACGGUAUCUAACCAGAAAGCCACGGCUAACUACGUGCCAGCAGCCGCGGUAAUACGUAUGGAGCGAGCGUUGUCCGGAUUUAUUGGGCGUAAAGCGAGCGCAGGCGGUUAGAAAAGUCUGAAGUGAAAGGCAGUGGCUCAACCAUUGUAGGCUUUGGAAACUGUUUAACUUGAGUGCAGAAGGGGAGAGUGGAAUUCCAUGUGUAGCGGUGAAAUGCGUAGAUAUAUGGAGGAACACCGGUGGCGAAAGCGGCUCUCUGGUCUGUAACUGACGCUGAGGCUCGAAAGCGUGGGGAGCGAACAGG